GAAAAAACGCUAUGGAAACAUUUUCCUUUGUAUUGUGUCCAUACAGCAAAGUUGGGAGUUCUGCAAAACACUGCAACAUGGACCAACAUAACUGGCGGAGCAGCUUCGAAGCACGAGAAGUAUCACGGUCCUGACGGUGAAUAGCGUCUCUUUCUUUUCAGAAAAUAAACAAAAAAUAUGCCGGUGGCCUAUGUGACGUGAACGAAAACAGUUGGACAAGAGUGCGAAUUUUUACGCCACGUCAUUUGGGGUCGACGUCGAGAGAAACAGCGCGUCUUUGGUACAUCAAAUGUGAAUUCGUCGCCACAACGGUGGAAUCCAGCAGUAGGAGGAGUAGACGGAGGCAGCCCAUGGUCGGACGUAUGAUACGGGAACGUGUAUGCAACUCUCAAAGUGGCCAGCACAGACCAUCUUGUGCACCUGAAGACUAUUGUCGUUGAUUGACGCUGAACGGUGAAGACUAUCAAUGAUGGAUUAUGGACAUCACAUUCUAGAAGUCACUUUUGCACUAUCA